rnacentral:rRNA from 1 species
GGGGGUGCAAGCGUUAUUCGGAAUCACUGGGCGUAAAGAGCGCGUAGGCGGUCUCUUAAGUCAGAUGUGAAAGCCCGGGGCUCAACCCCGGAAGUGCAUUUGAAACGAAGGGACUUGAGUAUGGGAGAGGGAAGUGGAAUUCCUGGUGUAGCGGUGAAAUGCGUAGAUAUCAGGAGGAACACCGGUGGCGAUGGCGACUUCCUGGACCAAUACUGACGCUGAGGCGCGAAGGCGUGGGGAGCAAACAGGAUUAGAUACCCUGGUAGUCCACGCAGUAAACGUUGAACACUAGGUGUAGCGGGUAUUGACCCCCUGCUGUGCCGCAGCUAACGCAUUAAGUGUUCCGCCUGGGGAGUACGGCCGCAAGGCUA